rnacentral:rRNA from 1 species
GGUUAAGCGACUAAGCGUACACGGUGGAUGCCCUGGCAGUCAGAGGCGAUGAAGGACGUGCUAAUCUGCGAAAAGCGUCGGUAAGGUGAUAUGAACCGUUACAGCCGGCGAUGUCCGAAUGGGGAAACCCAGUGCAAUUCGUUGCACUAUCGUUAACUGAAUACAUAGGUUAACGAGGCGAACCGGGGGAACUGA